GAUGAACGCUGGCGGCGUGCCUAAUACAUGCAAGUCGAGCGAACAGACGAGGAGCUUGCUCCUCUGACGUUAGCGGCGGACGGGUGAGUAACACGUGGAUAACCUACCUAUAAGACUGGGAUAACUUCGGGAAACCGGAUCUAAUACCGGAUAAUAUAUUGAACCGCAUGGUUCAAUAGUGAAAGACGGUUUUGCUGUCACUUAUAGAUGGAUCCGCGCCGCAUUAGCUAGUUGGUAAGGUAACGGCUUACCAAGGCGACGAUGCGUAGCCGACCUGAGAGGGUGAUCGGCCACACUGGAACUGAGACACGGUCCAGACUCCUACGGGAGGCAGCAGUAGGGAAUCUUCCGCAAUGGGCGAAAGCCUGACGGAGCAACGCCACGUGAGUGAUGAAGGUCUUCGGAUCGUAAAACUCUGUUAUUAGGGAAAAACAAAUGUGUAAGUAACUAUGCACGUCUUGACGGUACCUAAUCAGAAAGCCACGGCUAACUACGUG
rnacentral:rRNA from 1 species